AUUGAACGCUAGCGGGAUGCCUUACACAUGCAAGUCGAACGGAGUGGCGAACGGGUGAGUAAUGUAUCGGAACGUGCCCAGUAGCGGGGGAUAACUACGCGAAAGCGUAGCUAAUACCGCAUACUAUUGGAGCGGCCGUUACAGGAUUAGCUAGUUGGGGGGGUAACGGCUCAACAAGGCGACGAUCCGUAGCCGGUUUGAGAGGAAGACCAGCCACAUUGGGACUGAGACUCGGCCCCGACUCCGACGGUAGGCAGCAGUGGGGAAUUUUGGACAAUGGGGGAAACCCUGAUCCAGCCAUCCCGCGUGUGCGAUGAAGGCCUUCGGUUUGUAAAGCACUUUUGGCAGGAAAGCGGUACCUGCAUAAUAAGCACCGGCUAACUACGUGCCAGCAGCCGCGGUAAUAC
rnacentral:rRNA from 1 species